rnacentral:misc_RNA from 1 species
UCUUGCUCUUUGAUCCGGUGG